GACGAACGCUGGCGGCGUGCUUAACACAUGCAAGUCGAGCGGUAAGGCCCUUUCGGGGGUACACGAGCGGCGAACGGGUGAGUAACACGUGGGUGACCUGCCCUCAGCUCUGGGAUAAGCCCGGGAAACUGGGUCUAAUACCGGAUAUGACUCCACGGUGCAUGUCGUGGGGUGGAAAGCCUUGUGCGGCUGAGGAUGGGCCCGCGGCCUAUCAGCUUGUUGGUGGGGUGAUGGCCUACCAAGGCGACGACGGGUAGCCGGCCUGAGAGGGCGACCGGCCACACUGGGACUGAGACACGGCCCAGACUCCUACGGGAGGCAGCAGUGGGGAAUCUUGCGCAAUGGGCGAAAGCCUGACGCAGCGACGCCGCGUGAGGGAUGACGGCCUGG
rnacentral:rRNA from 1 species